GAUGAACGCUGGCGGUAUGCCUAACACAUGCAAGUCGUACGAGAGUUUUUAACUCUAGUGGCGGACGGGUGAGUAACACGUGAGAAUUUGCCUUUAGGAGGGGGACAACAAUCGGAAACGAAUGCUAAUACCCCAUAUGCUUUCGAGUGAAAUGGAUUUUAUCCGCCUAGGGAGAAGCUCGCGGCUGAUUAGCUUGUUGGUAAGGUAAGAGCUUACCAAGGCGACGAUCAGUAUCUGGUUUGAGAGGACGAUCAGACACACUGGAACUGAGACACGGUCCAGACUCCUACGGGAGGCAGCAGUGGGGAAUUUUCCGCAAUGGGCGAAAGCCUGACGGAGCAAUACCGCGUGAGGGAAGAAUGCCUAUGGGUUGUAAACCUCUUUUUUCAGGGAGGAAUAAAAUGACGUGUACCUGAAGAAUAAGCAUCGGCUAACUCCGUG
rnacentral:rRNA from 1 species